GUUCGGGUAGCUCAGGGGUAGAGCACUUCGUUGACAUCGAAGUGGUCGGAGGUUCAAAUCCUCUCUCGAACACCA
rnacentral:tRNA from 2 species